UGUAUAAAUAUUUUUCUCACAAAGAUAUCUCUCAAGGGUCACAUAGUUCAAAGCUCUGCCCACAUUAGCAGAUGUCUGUGAUCAAGUCUACGCAGUUUACGGUAAUAAUAGGCGUUGAAUCCAUGAACUUCAUCGAAACUUAGAAAUUGUGGUUUCUCCUGAUUAUUUGAUUAGAUUACCUUGAUAAGAACCCAUAAACGCAAUCCCAACAGAUUUUUUGUUGUAACCGAGCGUAUGGGCUCCUUCACGCGUCCAGCCACUACCCUCGUAAACAUUACCAUCUCCUCCUAUCAGAAACCUAAAAUAAAUUGACAUUCAAUGGGUGGACUUCCCGAAGAGCACAUGACGAAUCGUUGCAUCCAACAAACCGGUUUGUGAAACAGUUUUUGUUUUCCAUGGGAUAAGUUGAGAGCCUACGAAGCUGCAGCUUGGCCCCAAAAUUCUAACAACCUCGAAGCAUUUGCAAAUAUCCAAGAACCAUGUGUUCCUGGUGAACUUAUGGAUAAGGAGUGAUAUGAAUAUGCAAAUAUUAACACAUCUUGUAUUUUUCUAAGAACAAUCAAAUUAUUGAUGUAAUGUCGUUUGGAAUGAGGGUGUUUUCCAUGAUAUUUUAAAGCGGUAGACACGAUACCAAACUUAUGUGUAAAUAUGAAUCUACAUCAUGUCUAUUAUAAUAUUGGAAUUUGUACUUUUAACGGUUGAUUUCAUAAUAAAUAUUCACUAGUGCCGAUA